UACGUAGGGGGCAAGCGUUGUCCGGAUUUACUGGGCGUAAAGGAUGCGUAGGCGGACAUUUAAGUCAGAUGUGAAAUACCCCGAGCUUAACUUGGGUGCUGCAUUUGAAACUGGGUGUCUAGAGUGCAGGAGAGGUAAGUGGAAUUCCUAGUGUAGCGGUGAAAUGCGUAGAGAUUAGGAAGAACACCAGUGGCGAAGGCGACUUACUGGACUGUAACUGACGCUGAGGCAUGAAAGCGUGGGGAGCAAACAGG
rnacentral:rRNA from 1 species